rnacentral:rRNA from 1 species
CGGGUGAGUAAUGUAUAGGAACUUGCCUAGUAGUGGGGGAUAACGUGUGGAAACGCACGCUAAUACCGCAUACGCUCUACGGAGGAAAGCGGGGGAUCUUCGGACCUCGUGCUACUAGAUGGGCCUAUAUCAGAUUAGCUAGUUGGUAAGGUAAUGGCUUACCAAGGCGACGAUCUGUAGCUGGUUUGAGAGAAUGAUCAGCCACACUGGGACUGAGACACGGCCCAG